CACUCCCCGGCCAUCUUGGUGGCUGCACUUGGUUGGGGGCCGUCCCGCAUCUAAGGCAGGAAGAUGGUGGCCGCAAAGAAGACGAAAAAGUCGCUGGAGCUGAUCAACUCUAGGCUCCAACUUGUUAUGAAAAGUGGAAUGUACGUGCUGGGGUACAAGUAGACUCUGAAAAUGAUCAGACAAGGCAAAGCGAAACUGGUCAUCCUUGCCAAUGACUGCCCAGCCUUGAGGAAAUGUGAAAUAUAGAGUACUACGCUAUGUUGGCCAAGACUGGUGUCCAUCACUACAGGGCAAUAAUAUUGAAUGGGGCACAGCGUGUGGAAAAUACUAGAGUAUGCACACUGGCUAUCACUGAUCCAGGUGAUUCUGGUAUCAUCAGAAGCAUGCCAGAACAGACCGGUGAACAGUAA